GACGAACGCUGGCGGCGUGCUUAACACAUGCAAGUCGAACGGAAAGGCCUGUCCUUCCUUGUGUUGGACGGGUACUCGAGUGGCGAACGGGUGAGUAACACGUGAGUGAUCUGCCCCCAACUUGGGUAUAAGCCUGGGAAACUGGGUCUAAUUCCCGAUAGGACUGCAGGGUGGUGCCUGUGGUGGAAAACGAUUUUCUAGUGGUUGGGGAUGAGCUCGCGGCCUAUCAGCUUGUUGGUGGGGUAAUGGCCUACCAAGGCGGCGACGGGUAGCCGGCCUGAGAGGGUGGACGGCCACAUUGGGACUGAGAUACGGCCCAGACUCCUACGGGAGGCAGCAGUGGGGAAUAUUGCACAAUGGGCGGAAGCCUGAUGCAGCGACGCCGCGGGGGGGAUGACGGCCUUCGGGUUGUAAACUCCUUUCGACCGCGAGGAAGCCGCCUGGUUGGAAGGGUGGUGACGGUAGUGGUAGAAGAAGCACCGGCUAACUACGUG
rnacentral:rRNA from 1 species